GGGGGGGGCGCUAGCAGACGCGGACAUGCUUUCCAGAUUAAUAAGACUGAUUGUAGAAAGUGGAGUAAUUCUCCAUUGUGAUAUGUGUAGUUUAGGGCCUUGCAUGAGCCCCGUGCGAAUCUCAGGACUGUGUGCCUCAGUUAUUUUCGUUCUUUCCAUUAUAUCCGGGGGGGACAAACGUGGGGAAUGAAUUUUUAUCUCAAGCGCUUGGCGUUUGUUCGACAAAUGUCGUCAUUUAUCCAGUCAUUACGAGUUUCAGCACGAGGCCAAUGAACGGUGGACGGAGACCGAGGCGUCAGAAAAACUUGACUCCUCUCCCCACUGGCCGUAAGGAUAAUUCAAGAAAAAAAGUGAACUGGCUUCUCGUUCGAGAGGAAGCAUCUCUUUUGGAUUCCUGCCUUGGAUAACGGAUUUACGAGUAUAAAAGGGCUUUUACACCCGUUGGGCUAGUGGUAAUAACUAGCUCGCGCCCAGGAUAAACUACACCCCCUGUAUCAUCAACCCCCCGAGGCGCAGUAAUGAUGCACCACGAUGUACUAUUUUUCAUGAUUAUUUCAGUAAAUAAACGAUGGAGAGUUGAUAAAAUAGGAGAGCAAAAAAUCAACCGGAACCGCGGUGCCUCGACGGAAAGCUGGGCGGCAAUAUUAUGAUGGCAGAAUAAAUGUUGAAACACUCCAA